GCGGUUGCUUGGAAUUUAAACAAAUUUGCUGUUGUGUAAUGCGAUGCACGCUGCUUCUGUGCAGCAGGGUUGGAGUUGCCAGGCGUCGUUGUGACGUAAAAUCUUCCCAUGUGAAGCGGACGGCUCAGAUACAAAGCUCUUCCUUGUGCUGCAGGCAUAAUGUGAACCAGCAUGCAGGCUGAUGUCAUUAGCAUUUGUGUUUGGCAUCUUUCUGGCUGCACAAGAGCCGCAUGGUUGCAGGAAACAUCCACAGAGACAAAGCUUCUCUUUAGAGAGAUUAUCCACUAACAGACUACAGAGCGACCUGGCAGUAAAGAAGAUUUUUAUCUGCGUGAGGGACGGGGCUCCCCGUCACAUUAUCAGGGUUCUGUACUUGGAUGCCAUUUGCUCACCUGAACAUGUAGGUGAGAAAAUGUGACCUGCAUGUUUGCCGUUAUGCUGAUGACACUGUGGUCUGUUUAAAACUUCAGGAAUAUGAUCAGCAGCUCAGUCUAUGAGCUGAUCUGGAACACAAUAAAGUAGAUUAUUUGCGUUUUUCUUUUGUUGAACUCUAAUACAACAUAAACAAUAAAAACAACCAUGCAUGUGCACACUCAUAUCUAAGGGCAAUUUUAGAGUAACUAAUUAACCUAGCAGUCAUGUUCUUGGACUUUGGGAGGAAGACAGAGUACGUGGAGAGAACCUGCACAUGCUGCAGUGCUACAAACUGGGCAGCGCUAAUCAGGAGCUAAUAAUAUAAAUAUAUGCAGUUUAAACUAGACAUUUACCUUCUCUGUAAAUAACCGUUUUGUUCUCACUGUCUGACAUGAAAACAGAUAUUUUUCCUGCUUUAGGUCUGUUACAAUAGUUCAAAACAUGUUCAUUACAUUUUUACAUAAAAUUACUCUUAGAUUAUGAUA